GAUGAACGCUGGCGGCGUGCUUAACACAUGCAAGUCGAACGGAAAGGCUCCUGCUUGCAGGGGUACUCGAGUGGCGAACGGGUGAGUAACACGUGGGUGAUCUGCCCUGCACUUCGGGAUAAGCCUGGGAAACUGGGUCUAAUACCGGAUAGGACCACAUUUUGGAUGGUGUGGUGGAAAGUUUUUCGGUGUGGGAUGAGCUCGCGGCCUAUCAGCUUGUUGGUGGGGUAAUGGCCUACCAAGGCGUCGACGGGUAGCCGGCCUGAGAGGGUGUACGGCCACAUUGGGACUGAGAUACGGCCCAGACUCCUACGGGAGGCGGCAGUGGGGAAUAUUGCACAAUGGGCGCAAGCCUGAUGCAGCGACGCCGCGUGGGGGAUGACGGCCUUCGGGUUGUAAACUCCUUUCGCUAGGGACGAAGCGCAAGUGACGGUACCUGGAGAAGAAGCACCGGCUAACUACGUG
rnacentral:rRNA from 1 species